rnacentral:rRNA from 1 species
CAGCGGCGGACGGGUGAGUUUUGCCUAGGAAUCUGCCUGGUAGUGGGGGACAACGUCUCCAAAGGGACGCUAAUACCGCAUACGUCCUACGGGAGAAAGCAGGGGACCUUCGGGCCUUGCGCUAUCAGAUGAGCCUAGGUCGGAUUAGCUUGUUGGUGAGGUAAUGGCUCACCAAGGCUGCGAUCCGUAACUGGUCUGAGAGGAUGAUCAGUCACACUGGAACUGAGACACGGUCCAGACUCCUACGGGAGGCAGCAGUGGGGAAUAUUGGACAAUGGGCGAAAGCCUGAUCCACCAUGCCGCGUGUGUGAAGAAGGUCUUCGGAUUGUAAAGCACUUUAAGUUGGGAGGAAGGGCAGUAAGUUAAUACCUUGCUGUUUUGACGUUAACCACAGAAUAAGCACCGGGCAAGUUUCGUGCCUGCCAACG